AGCACAAACUAUGCCAUUAUAUCCUUCACAAGGUGGUGCAUCAAACAUGUCACCAUUUCCACAACAAGGGUUACAAGGUGUGCCAUAUAUUCCACAACUUCCGCCUAUUUAUUCACAACAAG